rnacentral:rRNA from 1 species
UACGUAGGUGGCAAGCGUUAUCCGGAAUUAUUGGGCGUAAAGCGCUCGCAGGCGGUUUCUUAAGUCUGAUGUGAAAGCCCACGGCUCAACCGUGGAGGGUCAUUGGAAACUGGGAGACUUGAGUGCAGAAGAGGAGAGUGGAAUUCCACGUGUAGCGGUGAAAUGCGUAGAGAUGUGGAGGAACACCUGUGGCGAAGGCGGGAUUCUCUGGGCCUUACCGUGACG